GGCAGAUUCUGGGUGGCAUUACUCACAUUGAUGCUGCUGAUGCUAUUCACACUACCUAUGCUGUGGCAACUGUAUCCAGGGCAUGCUGCCAGAAGAUAUGUGGCAAAGCCGAUGAGACACUGACGAUUCAUUGGAUAAAAAAAGUUUAUUAACAGCAAGAGGACAGUCUAUUUUGCAGCGAGCGAAUGUCACCAAAAACCGAUUCGUUUGGCUUUCGAUUCCAAUAUUUGGUGACAUGACGGCUGCGGCAACAGAUUGAAAGGGUGGCGGAGCUGCCUCUGUUUGCUUGUUUGACAUGGUUUCUGGCCAAACCAGCAGCAAACCAAACCAAGCCCCAUCGGAUUGGCGGAGGUUGGGCCAGGACUCCGACAGGGCAGACCAGGACACACCAGGACAGGACGGGAGCUGAAUGCGUUAAGAGGCCUGACGUGGUCAACAUGACAGCUGCACUUUGUGGUGAUUUAUGUGUAUGACUGCGAAUGCCAGGUGAAAAAAUGUUUUUUUUUAUCACUAUCUGACAGACAGCCUGUAAUGCGCGCAUAAUGACAGCAUACAAAGCGAUUUGUAACAAUUCGCGAAUAGCUUAAUGAUUGUACAACAAGGCUUCUCGAUCAUCAAUCUUAAACAUAUUAGAAAUAAAUUUAAAAUUACGUUUCACACUUGACUUAUUUUAUGUUUAAUUUAUUAUAGUUAGAAUGAGGAUAAAAACAUUGUAUUACAAAUAAAGAAUUUAAUUAUU